GUGUGUGACAGGUGUGUGUGACAGGUGUGUGACAGGUGUGUGACAGGUGAGUGACAGGUGUGUGACAGGUGUGUGACAGGUGUGUGACAGGUGCAGUAAACACAGAGUCAG